CCCAUCAGACGGGAUGAGACACGGCCCAGACUCCUACGGGAGGCAGCAGUGGGGAAUUUUCCGCAAUGGGCGAAAGCCUGACGGAGCAGGCUAUAGGUACGCCGCGUGAGGGAGGAAGGCUCUCGUAGUGGGUUGUAAACCUCUUUUCUUAGGGAAUAAGAUAUGAAAAGCCAGGUACCUAAGGAAUAAGCAUCGAGCUAACUCCGUGCCGGAACCCAGCAGCCGCGGUAAUACGGAGGAUGCAAUGCGUUCGGAAUCCGGAAUGAUUGGGCGACGUAAAGCGUCCGCAGGUGGCCGUUACGAGUCAAGUCUGCUGAAUCAAAGAAUGAGGCUUAACCUUUA
rnacentral:rRNA from 1 species